AUUGAACGCUGGCGGCAGGCCUAACACAUGCAAGUCGAACGAGUGGCGGACGGGUGAGUAAUGUCUGGGAAACUGCCCGAUGGAGGGGGAUAACUACUGGAAACGGUAGCUAAUACCGCAUACCAUCGGAUGUGCCCAGAUGGGAUUAGCUAGGAGGUGGGGUAACGGCUCACCUAGGCGACGAUCCCUAGCUGGUCUGAGAGGAUGACCAGCCACACUGGAACUGAGACACGGUCCAGGCUGCUUCGGGAGGCAGCAAUGGGGAAUAUUGCACAAUGGGCGCAAGCCUGAUGCCGCCAUGCCGCGUUUAUGAAGAAGGCCUUCUGGUUGUAAAGUACUUUCAUCGGGGAGGCGUUACCCGCAGAAGAAGCACCGGCUAACUCCGUGCCAGCAGCCGCGGUAAUAC
rnacentral:rRNA from 1 species